rnacentral:rRNA from 1 species
UACGUAGGGGGCAAGCGUUGUCCGGAAUCAUUGGGCGUAAAGAGCGUGUAGGCGGCCUGGUAAGUCCGCUGUGAAAGUCCAGGGCUCAACCCUGGAAUGCCGGUGGAAACUGUCAGGCUCGAGUCCGGAAGAGGCGAGUGGAAUUCCUGGUGUAGCGGUGAAAUGCGCAGAUAUCAGGAGGAACACCAAUUGCGAAGGCAGCUCGCUGGGACGUUACUGACGCUGAGACGCGAAAGCGUGGGGAGCAAACAGG